rnacentral:rRNA from 1 species
AUGGAGGAUGUCGCACGCCGCCAUGUUCCUGCCGGCGGAGGAGACGGCCUCGUCAGCGCCCUGCCGGAGGAUCUGCUCCUCCAGGUCCUCGUCCGCCUCCGCUGCGCCCGCGCCGCCGCGCGCACAGGGCUCCUCUCCCGCCGGUGGCGCGGCCUCUGGACCCGCCUCCCCGACCUCGUCUUCCGCGACCUAGCGCUCGGCCCGCUCCAACUCCAAGCCGCCAUGGAGCGACUAUGCAUGAUACACUACCGUUUCUUUUUGCAGGGUUCGACUAGUUAUCCUGAUGCAGAGUUCAGCUUGGAGCAGGAGAUAGAGACGCAUCUGGUUACCGACUUCUCUGUUUUGGAGCUACAUUUCACGACAAUGGAGCUUGAUCAUCGUGUCAGAUCAGUGAGGCAUGUUUUUGGAGCAUUUGCGUGCAUCUACUUGGGAUGCAUCCGAUUCGUUCUGCUACACGAAAGCUUAAGAUCAUCUUACAGAGAUCAGAGUUCAAAGAAGAAUGCCCGGUAA